UACGGAGGAUCCAAGCGUUAUCCGGAUUUAUUGGGUUUAAAGGGUGCGUAGGCGGAUUGAUAAGUUAGAGGUGAAAUGUCCGAGCUUAACUCGGGAACUGCCUCUAAUACUGUUGAUCUAGAGAGUAGAUGCGGUAGGCGGAAUGUAUGGUGUAGCGGUGAAAUGCUUAGAGAUCAUACAGAACACCGAUUGCGAAGGCAGCUUACCAAUCUAUAUCUGACGUUGAGGCACGAAAGCGUGGGUAUCGAACAGG
rnacentral:rRNA from 1 species